ACCAUUGUGAGUCUGGGUAUCAAACUGAGUUGAGGGACUUUUGGUGCAUUUUUCUCAAAUUUAAAUGCAGAAGGUAGAAAAGGAUGAGUUAAGGUGAAUUGAGUUUAGGGUUGGGUAAGUACAGAUCCGAUCCGGGUAGCCCUUCUCGGAACCCAUCCAAGCGGAUGUGGAGGACGAUAGUGUUGGAGCGACAUAGACUUUGAUCGUCCCUCCCCCCUCUCUCUGCGAUUUCAUUUCAGAUCGGCCAGUGGGGCAGAUCUUGUAAAUUUUCCGAUCGAACAAAAUGUACGGCUUCAAAGCUAUGACCUUCAACAUUCACAACGGCUACUUGGAGGCCAUCAUCCGGAGACACCGUGCCGGUUUUCUCACUGCUGCUAAUUACAACAAUCUCUGCCAGUGCGAGACCCUCGACGACAUUAAGAUUGACCUCUCUGCCACCGAGUACAGCCCCUACCUCCAAAACGCUUUGAUUGCUUUAAUUUGGGUCCGAGAUUGUAUUAAAGAAGCUUCAGUCUUUGCAGAGUAGUUAGUAGCCAGUAACUUAGUGAUCAAGAGGCUUUGAAGAAAUUGGGAGAAGUAUAUGAGAAAUCACAAGAGCAGAAUAAUCCUCCCACAUAUCUGUGUUUGGCUGAAGUAUAUGUUGAUCUAUACCAUACAUCAAGGUGACGAUGAGGGUUGCCAACUCACAUCCAGGCUUGAAGAGGAUUGAGCUGUGUGCAUUUGGAACCAAAAUGGGCGAUACCAGCUCCUUUGGCAUCAAAUGAUCAUGUCAGUAGAAUGCUUUCUUCCCAGGCCUUGAUUCAACUAAAUGGCAAGAGAUAUAUUCUUUUUUAUAAGAUUUCUUCUUAUUGUUGCUGCCAAAAUUUCAGGCAGAGACGUCUGGUGAGCUUACUAAUUCAGGGGAGAAGGUUUCCAAACCAAAUAUGGUCUUAAUUAUUGUUAUUUUCGAGUUCUAGGUACUUGGUAUGCUACUAGCUUAUGAUCUUCGAGCGCUAGCUUUUUGUUGUUACUUUUCUUUCUGUUACUAAUGUUCUUGUCUCUAACAUGUCUUGCUGCCAUUUUUUUUUAAUUGGAAUCUUGCUGCCAUGUUGGAUGGAAAAAAUUUCGAGAUGUCAGAAAUUGCAAAGUUUUUCCUAGCAUCGCUUUAUGUAAGUUUUUGGUGGUUACUGACCAUGGCUUGCAGGAUACGGAUACAUCUUAAUAGGGGAGCCAAAGAGGGCUUCAAUCACAACUUGAUGCUUAAUUCAGACACCUUGGGCUGUUCAACGUUCUCUUCAAAUUUCUUGAAAAGCUACCACCUUUAAUUUCUACUCCAGUGAUGACAAGAGCUCUGGAUCUGGUCACCAUGUCAUCUCUCUACAAGGUGUUUCAACAUCCAAAUUCCUUCCAUGCUAAAACAAGACAACAAAUGGCUUUUAAUGCGAGUCUUCCAGAUUGGAAGAAUUUAUCUGGAUGAGUUUGGAAUUAUGUUUUGGAGAAACAGAUAAUCAUUUCAGAAGGUUGCGUAUUUAAUUGGCUCUAAAAGAAACUUCAGUGUAGAGAGUUUCCGCUUAUUGUAAAUUGUUAAAUGAAGCUGAGAGUUCGUUGGUCGUUAAUAUGUUUCUUAUGUUCAAGUUGAUGACAUUAAGUAAACACUUUUUUAUUGUAUUCAGUGGGAUAUUGCAAUGCAAUGGCAUAUAAAGUCGCUGAAAUAUGAAUAAACACAAUUUUACAAA